rnacentral:rRNA from 1 species
UUGCUCCUCGGGAGGCAGCAGUAGGGAAUCUUCCACAAUGGGCGAAAGCCUGAUGGAGCAACGCCGCGUGGGUGAAGAAGGUCUUCGGAUCGUAAAACCCUGUUGUUAGAGAAGAAAGUGCGUGAGAGUAACUGUUCACGUUUCGACGGUAUCUAACCAGAAAGCCACGGCUAACUACGUGCCAGCAGCCGCGGUAAUACGUAGGUGGCAAGCGUUAUCCGGAUUUAUUGGGCGUAAAGGGAACGCAGGCGGUCUUUUAAGUCUGAUUGGAAAGCCUUCGGCUUAACCGGAGUAG